rnacentral:rRNA from 1 species
UACAGAGGGUGCAAGCGUUGUUCGGAAUUAUUGGGCGUAAAGGGAGUGUAGGCGGUCUUGUAAGUCUUCUGUGAAAUCUACGGGCUUAGCCUGUAACGUGCAGAGGAAACUGUGAGACUAGAGUGUCGGAGAGGAUAGGGGAAUACCCAGUGUAGAGGUGAAAUUCGUAGAGAUUGGGUGGAACACCAGUGGCGAAGGCGCCUGUCUGGCUGACAACUGACGCUGAGACUCGAAAGCAUGGGGAGCAAACAGG